rnacentral:rRNA from 1 species
GAUGAACGCUGGCGGCGUGCUUAACACAUGCAAGUCGAGCGAGAUUAUUCUUCGGAAUAGUCUAGCGGCGGACGGGUGAGUAACACGUGGGCAACCUGCCUUGUAGAGGGGGAUAGCCUUCCGAAAGGAAGAUUAAUACCGCAUAAUGUUAUUGAAAGGCAUCUUUCGAUAAUCAAAGGAGCAAUCCGCUACAAGAUGGGCCCGCGGCGCAUUAGCUAGUUGGUGAGGUAACGGCUCACCAAGGCGACGAUGCGUAGCCGACCUGAGAGGGUGAUCGGCCGCAUUGGGACUGAGACACGGCCCAGACUCCUACGGGAGGCGGCAGUGGGGAAUAUUGCACAAUGGGGGAAACCCUGAUGCAGCAACGCCGCGUGAGUGAUGACGGCCUUCGGGUUGUAAAGCUCUGUCUUUGGGGACGAUAAUGACGGUACCCAAGGAGGAAGUCACGGCUGACUACGUGCCAGCCGCCGCCGUAA